UGGCGAACGGGUGAGUAACACGUGGGUGAUCUGCCCUGCACUCUGGGAUAAGCCUGGGAAACUGGGUCUAAUACCGGAUAGGACCAUGCUUUAGUGUGGUGGUUGGAAAGUUUUUUCGGUGUAGGAUGAGCUCGCGGCCUAUCAGCUUGUUGGUGGGGUAAUGGCCUACCAAGGCGGCGACGGGUAGCCGGCCUGAGAGGGUGAUCGGCCACACUGGAACUGAGACACGGUCCAG
rnacentral:rRNA from 1 species